rnacentral:rRNA from 1 species
GAGCGGUAGAGAGAAGCUUGCUUCUCUUGAGAGCGGCGGACGGGUGAGUAAAGCCUAGGAAUCUGCCUGGUAGUGGGGGAUAACGUUCGGAAACGGACGCUAAUACCGCAUACGUCCUACGGGAGAAAGCAGGGGACCUUCGGGCCUUGCGCUAUCAGAUGAGCCUAGGUCGGAUUAGCUAGUUGGUGAGGUAAUGGCUCACCAAGGCGACGAUCCGUAACUGGUCCGAGAGGAUGAUCAGUCACACUGGAACUGAGACACGGUCCAGACUCCUACGGGAGGCAGCAGUGGGGAAUAUUGGACAAUGGGCGAAAGCCUGAUCCAGCCAUGCCGCGUGUGUGAAGAAGGUCUUCGGAUUGUAAAGCACUUUAAGUUGGGAGGAAGGGCAUUAACCUAAUACGUUAGUGUUUUGACGUUACCGACAGAAUAAGCACCGGCUAACUCUGUGCCAGCAGCCGCGGUAAUACAGAGGGUGCAAGCGUUAAUCGGAAUUACUGGGCGUAAAGCGCGCGUAGGUGGUUUGUUAAGUUGGAUGUGAAAUCCCCGGGCUCAACCUGGGAACUGCAUUCAAAACUGACUGACUAGAGUAUGGUAGAGGGUGGUGGAAUUUCCUGUGUAGCGGUGAAAUGCGUAGAUAUAGGAAGGAACACCAGUGGCGAAGGCGACCACCUGGACUAAUACUGACACUGAGGUGCGAAAGCGUGGGGAGCAAACCGGAUUAGAUACCCUGGUAGUCCACGCCGUAAACGAUGUCAACUAGCCGUUGGGAGCCUUGAGCUCUUAGUGGCGCAGCUAACGCAUUAAGUU